rnacentral:SRP_RNA from 1 species
GGGGGGUCACGUGGCCUGGGGGUCACGUGACCUCGCGGGGAAAAUUUCCCGCUAAAUUUAGCGGGGAAAAUUUUCCGCUAAAUUUAGUGGAGAAAAUUUUCCGCUAAAUUUAGCGGGGAAAAUUUUCCGCUAAAUUAAGCGGGGAAAAUUUUCCGCUAAAUUUAGCAGGGAAAAUUUCCCGCUAGAUUUAGCGCGGAAACUUUUUCACUAGAUUUAGCGGGAAAAUUUUUCCGCUAAAUUUAGCGGGGAAAAGUUUCCGCU